rnacentral:lncRNA from 1 species
CACGCCGCGUGAACGCAUUGUCACACGCUCUUUGAUAGUAGGUACCUUAUGUCCGUGGAAUUUGAUAUUAGUCUAGUGCAUUAGUCCAUCUCAUGGUCAUUCGAUUACAGGUGGACCUAAUCGUAUCCGUCAACGGUUUCGAUAAUUAAUCGACCCAACGUAAAACAAUAAACAGCUCUAGUAUUCUCCCGAGUCAUUGUCAGAUACAGGAAUUGAAUAAUAAUGGGACGCCACGCAGCUUACGAUGUUACUAUAACUUCGGUUGAUUUGAGAAUAAAAAUGUUUAACCGCUGUUCUUUUACUCGAUGUCUAUAAUACCAGCGGCGUUUGUUUGUCGGUUUAAAAUACCAACUGUCUCAGCGACGUCCAGUCACGUUCGUUCAUUUGACGUGUUCGGUAACAUAUCCGAUUGUAAAAAUGUUCAUUUAUGGUUGAGAAACUUUAUCCGUAUUGCGAAUCACACGUAUUCUUCAACGCGUAUACCGAACCUAGACUUUGUCGAAACGUUUUUUCUUCAUCUCUAGUUAAUUUAAAAAUCUGUUCACGGUACAUUCCCAAACUUUUUCGUAGAUGUAAGUAAUUUUGUUCGUUCCUUAUUGCUCUACUUCAUUCAUGUUAACUCGGAACUAAUACGAAUUGAUGAAACCACGAAAGAAAGCCUGCUAUGAACACUUAUGGUGCAACUGUUAUCCUAAAAUCGAUACAGUUAUCAUUGUGUAUACAAACGUACGUUCAGAUUUAUAUACAUAUAUGUACUGCAAAUUAAAGUAUCUCACACACAGAAUGGCACAAUGAUCCUAAGAUGAUGCGGUACAGUCAGUGUUUACUAACCGCGUUAAACGUCAUGCUUUUUUACUACUUACUUUUUUAGGCACCGACGUAAUAAUGCCGUAGUCAGCGCAAUAAUUCAACAUGCAAUGCCGAACGAAAAUAUCUAAAAACCGUUAUGUUUCACGCGAGUGCAAAGCCAAGAAAUGUCUUCCUUCAUGUAGUUAUCACGGCAUCGUUGAUGCUUCCAUGUGCUGUAGCGGUCGGUGAUCGGUGCGAUAAUGGAUCGGCUAUUUCACAAAUGUGUGGAUGUGGUUAAUGAAUAGAUAACCACGAUAACCGUUUAUGGUGAAAAUAAUGAGUGUUUUAUUUGAGCUCGAUUGUAAUUACGCGAUACAUGCUGAAGUAACUUCGCACCUAUGGUUCGCAAAACAUUCAAUAUAUAUCUAUAAUGACAUACAACUCCAUUAUAGGUGCAUCCGCUUUGUAAAUUUCUUGUCAAUUUUUACAAUUUCGGUUGUAGAUGUUUGCCAAUAGGCACAAAGCUCAGGACAAAGCGUUUAACACUGUUAACAUACAUCAGUCGCGAUAAUGUACAGAAUUGUAAUAUUAAUUUGGAUCUAUUUUCAUCAUAUUUCUUAUUACAACUUUUAUUCUACAUGUACAUAUUGUAUAAAAUAUAUUUUCUAGCGUGAUCUUAUGUUCGUAUUUUAUCACUACCUUGUACUUCCUUGUAAAACUUUGUGCGUUGCUUCGGUAUUUAUGUAUAUAAAUAAAAAGUUGUAUAAUCAUACAAAACUUAUCUAACAUGACGUGUAAUUUA